rnacentral:rRNA from 1 species
GACGAACGCUGGCGGCGUGCCUAAUACAUGCAAGUCGAACGCAGGGGGGACGGGUGAGUAACACGUGGGUAAACUGCCGUCAGAGGGGAUAACACUUGGAAACAGGUGCUAAACCGAUACUGAAGGAGGGACCCGCGGUGGAUUAGCUAGUUGGGGGGGAAACGGCUCACCAAGGCCACGAUGCAUAGCCGACCUGAGAGGGUGACCGGCCACACUGGGACUGAGACACGGCCCAGACUCCUCCGGGAGGCAGCAGUAGGGAAUCUUCGGCAAUGGACGAAGGUCUGACCCAGCAACGCCGCGUGAGUGAAGAAGGUUUUCGGAUCGUAAAACUCUGUUGUUAGAGAAGCGGUAUCUAACCAGAAAGCCACGGCUAACUACGUGCCAGCAGCCGCGGUAAUUC